GAGUUUGAUCCUGGCUCAGGACGAACGCUGGCGGCGCGCCUAACACAUGCAAGUCGAACGGAGCUGAGAGGAGCUUGCUUUUCUUAGCUUAGUGGCGAACGGGUGAGUAACGCGUGAGUAACCUGCCCUAGAGUGGGGGACAACAGUUGGAAACGACUGCUAAUACCGCAUAAGCCCACGACCCGGCAUCGAGAAGAGGGAAAAGGAGCAAUCCGCUUUGAGAUGGCCUCGCGUCCGAUUAGCUAGUUGGUGAGGUAACGGCCCACCAAGGCAACGAUCGGUAGCCGGCCUGAGAGGGUGAACGGCCACAUUGGGACUGAGACACGGCCCAGACUCCUACGGGAGGCAGCAGUGGGGAAUAUUGCACAAUGGGGGAAACCCUGAUGCAGCGACGCCGCGUGGAGGAAGAAGGUCUUCGGAUUGUAAACUCCUGUUGUUGAGGAAGAUAAUGACGGUACUCAACAAGGAAGUGACGGCUAACUACGUGCCAGCCGCCGCGGUAAUAC
rnacentral:rRNA from 1 species